UACGUAGGUGGCAAGCGUUGUCCGGAUUUAUUGGGUUUAAAGGGUGCGUAGGCGGCAUUUUAAGUCAGUGGUGAAAUACUUCAGCUCAACUGGAGAGGUGCCAUUGAUACUGGGAUGCUUGAGUACUGAUGAGGUAGGCGGAAUGGACGGUGUAGCGGUGAAAUGCCUAGAUAUCGUCCAGAACACCGAUAGCGAAGGCAGCUUACUAAGGAGUAACUGACGCUGAGGCACGAAAGUGUGGGGAUCAAACAGG
rnacentral:rRNA from 1 species